rnacentral:lncRNA from 1 species
CUAAACAAUAAGGCAUCCACAGGGUGGAUUCUUAUGGCAAUGUUUGAAGUAACAGGGGAAAAAAAACUAACUUACAUGACUCCAGCACUAGCGUUUCCAGUCAAAUCCAGUCCGUGGCCUCUAAGCUAAGAAUUGUUUUACCAGGUGUGCAGGGUCUAGCUUAUCAAAUCCUGCACAUUCCAAAGAUAAGCCUGCCCCUUGACCAGCUCCCUAGGAGAUAACCUUUUAAGUUCUUAGAAUAUCCCGCCUCCUGGGUGUGCCUCUGUUUACUUGGAGCUUUGAGCCACAUCAGAUAGUUUAUGAUAACAGUGAUUUUGGGGUGGGGGGACCUUGCACCUCACAGGAGCACCUUGAUCUCUGGAGGAGCCGGAAGCUGAAUAAGGCCAGCCAAGUGGGUGCUCCAUGCCUGCCAGACCUGCACUGCAGUGGAAGCCCUGGACACGGAGUCUCAGGUAAGUGUCCCUUGUUGACGGGAUGCUCUGCGUGUUGUCCCACAUCUCUUCCGGAAGAAUUAAAUUCGGUCCCUGCAGCUUCUCUGGAGAGGAAACUUGGAGGCUUGUGCAGGUCUCCUGGACUCUUCCUGGUGCCUUUUACAUUUGCUGAUUUUAAAUUUUAUCUUUUUGCUGUAAACUGUAACUGUCAGCCCGACAGCUUUUCUGAGUUCCAUGGGUCAUUGAACUAGAGAGUAAUCUGGGGGCCUCUGACAUGAUAUAUUUAAAGGACUGUGUUUUUAGAAAGAAUAUGCAGGAGUUCCCAUUGUGGCUUAGUGGGUGAAAGACCUGACAUUGUCUCUGUGGGGGUGUGGGUUUGAUCCCUGGCCUCACUCAGUGGGUUAAGGAUCUGGUGUUGCUGCAAGCUGCAGUUAGGCAAAUGCAGCCAGUAAGAUACAUUUUUAAAUAAAUAAAUAGAAUAUGCAGUAGAGACCAUAUGUGUCCUGAGAAGCUUAAAACAUUGCUGUUUGGCCCUUUACAGAAAACUGUUUCCAACUCAUGCAGAAAUGUAACAAAUAAAUAACCUAUGUUAUUUUCACACAUUGAAGACAUAACAAUUAAAAUGGAUGAAUAGCUAUGUAAAUAAAUCUCAAACUGUUUUAAAUUAAAAAAUGUAGCAGAAGAAUAAAGCAGUAGGAUACUAUUUAUGUAACUUAAACUAUUGUUAUGAUUAAAUGUGUACGUAAAAUGUAAAAAGCACCAAGAAGGAUGUCCAGGAACCUCAGGAUUGUCCUGAGCUCCAGGGGAAAAAACGGAAUGGAAGGUAAGAAAUUUGUCAGAUUUCAUCCUUAAAAAGAGAGAUUCAGGGGAAAUAACUGAAUCUCAUGAAACAAAUGAAAAGAUUUUAUUUUACUGACUCUUUUGUUUCUUUCCCCAAUCAGCUUAGCUUGGAACUGUAGAAUGAUUGUGAUAAAGAUCUCGGCGGCCUCCCAUUCUUCAGGUUCUCUGUCAAGGCACAGGUCUUGGUCGGUGAAUUGCCCAAAGUCAUGAUAAACUCUUGUUUUGUUGUUUUUGCUUUUUAGGGCCACACUCGCAGUGUAUGGAGGCUCGCAGGCUAGGGGCUGAAUGGGAACUACAGCUGUCGGCCUAUGUCACAGCUCACUGCCACACUGGAUCCUUAAUCCACUGAGCGAGGCCAGGGAUCAAACCCACAUCCUCAUGGUUCCUAGUCGGAUUCAUUUCUGCUGCACCACGACAAGAACUCCGAAUUCUUGUUUUAAUUUUGAACUAUGGGAACCUCUUAAAGGAGUAAGGGCUAUGCUAAUACAUUCCAGAGCUAUAUCAAGUUCUCUUUAAAUUCUGUCCAUCUAUAAAUUGAAGACUAUUGAGAAAUAGUAAAGCAUGCAUAGGGAGUUCCCUGGUGGCCUAGCAGUUAAGGACUCGGCAUUGUCGCUGCUGUGGCUCUGGUUCAGUCCCUGGCCCAGGAACUUCUGCAGCCCUGGGCACAGCCAAAAACAAAGAAAAGCAUGCACGGCCUCAGGGAUUAAUAUCCUUUAUGCUGGGGGUGAGCUGCUUAAUGCACUCUAGGUUUACAGUGGAGGCAAUAUACCUAAUUUGUAUUUUCUUAAAAUUUCUUUUGCUCUUUGAAGCAGUCGUAGAGAUCAUGCCAAGUUUAGUGUCUGCUGAUAUGUAGACAAUUUAAAAGGUAUUAAAAGUUAAGGAGAUCUAGCUGUGGCUCAGCAGGUUAAGAACCCAACUAGUCUCUAUGAGGAUAUGGAUUCAAUCCCUGGCCUCGCUCAGUGGGUUAAAAGGAUCUGGUGUUGCCGCAAGCUGUGACGUAGUCAGAGAUGUGUCUUGGAGCCAUGGUGCUGUGGCUGUGUGUAGGCUGGCAGCUG